GACGAACGCUGGCGGCGUGCCUAAUACAUGCAAGUAGAACGCUGAAGAGAGGAGCUUGCUCUUCUUGGAUGAGUUGCGAACGGGUGAGUAACGCGUAGGUAACCUGCCUUGUAGCGGGGGAUAACUAUUGGAAACGAUAGCUAAUACCGCAUAACAAUGGAUGACACAUGUCAUUUAUUUGAAAGGGGCAAUUGCUCCACUACAAGAUGGACCUGCGUUGUAUUAGCUAGUAGGUGAGGUAACGGCUCACCUAGGCGACGAUACAUAGCCGACCUGAGAGGGUGAUCGGCCACACUGGGACUGAGACACGGCCCAGACUCCUACGGGAGGCAGCAGUAGGGAAUCUUCGGCAAUGGGGGCAACCCUGACCGAGCAACGCCGCGUGAGUGAAGAAGGUUUUCGGAUCGUAAAGCUCUGUUGUAAGUCAAGAACGAGUGUGAGAGUGGAAAGUUCACACUGUGACGGUAGCUUACCAGAAAGGGACGGCUAACUACGUGCCAGCAGCCGCGGUAAUACGUAGGUCCCGAGCGUUGUCCGGAUUUAUUGGGCGUAAAGCGAGCGCAGGCGGUUUGAUAAGUCUGAAGUUAAAGGCUGUGGCUCAACCAUAGUUCGCUUUGGAAACUGUCAAACUUGAGUGCAGAAGGGGUGAGUGGAAUUCCAUGUGUAGCGGUGAAAUGCGUAGAUAUAUGGAGGAACACCGGUGGCGAAAGCGGCUCUCUGGUCUGUAACUGACGCUGAGGCUCGAAAGCGUGGGGAGCGAACAGGAUUAGAUACCCUGGUAGUCCACGCCGUAAACGAUGAGUGCUAGGUGUUGGAUCCUUUCCGGGAUUCAGUGCCGCAGCUAACGCAUUAAGCACUCCGCCUGGGGAGUACGACCGCAAGGUUGAAACUCAAAGGAAUUGACGGGGGCCCGCACAAGCGGUGGAGCAUGUGGUUUAAUUCGAAGCAACGCGAAGAACCUUACCAGGUCUUGACAUCCCGAUGCUAUUUCUAGAGAUAGAAAGUUACUUCGGUACAUCGGUGACAGGUGGUGCAUGGUUGUCGUCAGCUCGUGUCGUGAGAUGUUGGGUUAAGUCCCGCAACGAGCGCAAUCCCUAUUGUUAGUUGCCAUCAUUCAGUUGGGCACUCUAGCGAGACUGCCGGUAAUAAACCGGAGGAAGGUGGGGAUGACGUCAAAUCAUCAUGCCCCUUAUGACCUGGGCUACACACGUGCUACAAUGGUUGGUACAACGAGUUGCGAGUCGGUGACGGCAAGCUAAUCUCUUAAAGCCAAUCUCAGUUCGGAUUGUAGGCUGCAACUCGCCUACAUGAAGUCGGAAUCGCUAGUAAUCGCGGAUCAGCACGCCGCGGUGAAUACGUUCCCGGGCCU
rnacentral:rRNA from 1 species